GAGUGGNGCGGCCACAUUGGGACUGAGACACGGCCCAAACUCCUACGGAAGGCAGCAG
rnacentral:rRNA from 1 species